rnacentral:rRNA from 1 species
CCUACGGGAGGCUGCAGUGGGGAAUAUUGCACAAUGGGGGAAACCCUGAUGCAGCGACGCCGCGUGAGUGAAGAAGUAUCUCGGUACGUAAAGCUCUAUCAGCAGGGACGAAAAUGACGGUACCUGACUAAGAAGCCCCGGCUAACUACGUGCCAGCAGCCGCGGUAAUACGUAGGGGGCAAGCGUUAUCCGGAUUUACUGGGUGUAAAGGGAGCGUAGACGGCAGCACAAGUCUGGAGUGAAAUCCCGAGGCUUAACCCCGGAACUGCUUUGGAAACUGUGCGGCUGGAGUGCAGGAGGGGUAGGCGGAAUGCCUGGUGUAGCGGUGAAAUGCGUAGAGAUUAGGAGGAACACCGGUGGCGAAGGCGGCUUACUGGACUGUAACUGACGUUGAGGCACGAAAGCGUGGGUAUCGAACAGGAUUAGAUACCCGAGUAGUC